UACGUAGGGGGCAAGCGUUGUCCGGAUUUACUGGGCGUAAAGCGCGCGUAGGCGGGAGGUGAAGUCCGGUGGGAAAGCCCACGGCUCAACCGUGGAAGAACGCUGGAAACUCACCUUCUUGAGGGCGGCAGAGGGAAGUGGAAUUGCUGGUGUAGCGGUGAAAUGCGUAGAUAUCAGCAGGAACACCCGUGGCGAAGGCGGCUUCCUGGGCCGCCCCUGACGCUGAGGCGCGAAAGCGUGGGGAGCGAACGGG
rnacentral:rRNA from 1 species